GUGCUAGCUUCAGCAGCACGUAUGCUAAACUACAGUACAGAGAAGAUUAGCAUGGCCCCUGUACAUGGAUGGCAAAUUGAAAUGAGGAUUGUUGAUAUUUAAC
ensembl:snRNA U6 U6 spliceosomal RNA